AUUGAACGCUGGCGGCAGGCCUAACACAUGCAAGUCGAGCGUGAAAGUCCUUCGGGAUGAGUAAAGCGGCGGACGGGUGAGUAACGCGUAGGAAUCUACCUGAUAGUGGGGGAUAACGUUUCGAAAGGAACGCUAAUACCGCAUACGUUCUGAGGAAGAAAGCAGGGGCUCGCAAGACCUUGCGCUAUCAGAUGAGCCUGCGUCCGAUUAGCUAGUUGGUGGGGUAAAGGCCUACCAAGGCGACGAUCGGUAACUGGUCUGAGAGGAUGAUCAGUCACACUGGAACUGAGACACGGUCCAGACUCCUACGGGAGGCAGCAGUGGGGAAUAUUGGACAAUGGGGGCGAACCCUGAUCCAGCCAUGCCGCGUGUGUGAAGAAGGCCUUCGGGUUGUAGAGCAC
rnacentral:rRNA from 1 species